UACAGAGGGUGCGAGCGUUAAUCGGAAUUACUGGGCGUAAAGCGUGCGUAGACGGUUAUUUAAGUCGGGUGUGAAAGCCCCGGGCUCAACCUGGGAAUUGCAUUCGAGACUGAAUAGCUAGGGUACGGUAGAGGGAAGUGGAAUUUCCGGUGUAGCGGUGAAAUGCGUAGAUAUCGGGAGGAACAUCUGUGGCGAAGGCGACACCCUGGACCAGCACUGACACUGAGGCACGAAAGCGUGGGGAGCAAACAGG
rnacentral:rRNA from 1 species